AUUUCCAUACAAGUUUAAGGGAAAAUGUUUUAAAUGUUGUGCCUGUUGACAGCACAAGUAGAAGUUCAGUUGAAGAAGUUUUUAAUGGUUUUAAUAAUCCAUUCUCUGAUUUUAAUACUGAUACAAAAUGGAGAAAAUAUUUCAGUGAGAAAUGGGGGGUUGUUGAACCUAUUGAAAUACACUUAGGUGUCAGAUACGAUACAAGAAGAAAUAAAAUCUCUGGUAUGUAUGAACAGACAACAGUUAAUGACACUUUCAUAUAUAUCCCUCUUCUGAAGACUCUUGAGUUCAUUUUUAGGAAUGAUAAAGUGUGUAAUCUUAUCCAAGAGGAACGGCAAAGUGACAUGUAUUGUGAUUUUUGUGAUGGACAGUAUUAUAAAAAACAUCCUUUGUACUCCAUCCACAGCAAUGCACUUCAGAUCCAAAUUUACUAUGACGAUUUUGAAACCGCGAACCCAUUAGGAUCUAAAGCAGGAGUUCAUAAACUUGGCUGUUUAUAUUUUGUACUUCGUAACCUGCCAGCACACAUUAACUCUUCCUUAAUGAACAUACAUCUAAUUUCUUUGUUCCAUUCUGAAGAUGGAAAAAAGUAUGGCAUGGACAAAAUACUUGGCCCAUUGGUUGAUGAUGUGAAAGUACUUGAGAAGAAGGGAAUGAUGGUGUCAUUUUCUGAGGAGCCCAUCUUUGGUACUAUUUCGCAAAUAACUGGUGAUAACCUAGGUCUAAAUAGUAUUCUUGGUUAUGUUGAAUCUUUUUCUGCAAAACAUUACUGCAGACUCUGUCUCACUGACAAGGUGUUAGCACAGGAAGUAUUUAGUGAGGAUGAUCCACGGAUGAUAUUGCGUAAUAGAAAUCUAAAUGAGGAGCAUUACAAGUAUCUUGCUGACAACCCCAAUGAAAACUCCUGUUAUGGUGUUAAAAGAAAUUCUAUACUCAAUACCUUGACUUACUUUAAUGUAUCUGAGAACUUUGUGCUGGAUAUUAUGCAUGAUAUCCUGGAGGGAGUUGCACAGUAUGAAGUGAAACUGCUGUUUGAAUAUAUGAGUUGCAAUCUAAUUUCUGGCGAUUCCAUUCCUCAAAGAUUGUAUGCCUUCAACUAUGGCUUUUUAGAAAGAAAUAACCGCCCAACCAAGGUCAACCUUCAACAAGCAGGAAACAACAUUGGUCUCAAUGCAAGUCAGACAUGGUGUCUCAUUAAGAACAUCCCUCUCAUAUUUGGAGAUGUAGUCCCAGUGGGAGAUAAGCACUGGCAUUUGAUGUUGCUUCUCUUACAUAUUGUAAAUAUUAUCUUUUCUCCUUGCAUCUCUGAAGGAAUGAUAAUAUUUUUGAAGCAUCUGAUAAAAGAGCAUCAUCAGUUGUUUAAGGAUUUGUAUCCUAGGAAUCUAAUUCCAAAACACCACCUUAUGAUUCACUACCCUGAAUGCAUCAGACAA
ensembl:lncRNA